GAGCUGCGGCAGGCUUACACAUGCAGUCGAGGGGUACAGGACAAACCUGGCUUUUUUGCAGACGACCGGCAAAGGGGUGCGUCACGCGUAAAACAUCUCGCGCGUGUAGAGGAAGAUAGCCUUUAAACAAUGAGACAUUAACACCCCACACCGUUCAGAAAAGGCAUCGUUAUCUACUUACAGAUUUCUCUGUAAUAAACCACCAUGCGACCUACUAGCUAGAGGGGAAAGGAACCGCUUACCAUGGCAACCAUAGGUGGGGGGACAGAAUAGAGAUUCCCCCCUGGCUGUUACAGACACACCAAACUCACUCAUAAGGGAGCGCAGAGUAAUAAAUAAUGGUCAGUGCAAGCCACACUGAACCAUGCAUGCCGCGUGCAGAAAGACUGCCCGAUGGGUUGUACACUGCUAUUUGACGAGAAGAAACUUAUUUACACGCACCUACCGGACGGUACUGUAAGAAAAGCACCGGCUAACUCCGUGCCAGCAGCCGCGGUAAUACGGAGGGUGCAAGCGUUAUCCGGAAUCACUGGGUUUAAAGGGCCCGCUAGCGGUCUAGUUAGUCAGAUGUGAAAUCCCCUAGCUCACUAUGGAACUGGCUUCUGAUACUGGUUGACUUGAGUUAUAUAGAAGUACAUGGAAUUUCCAGUGUUACCGUGAAAUGCAUUAAUAUUACUAAGAACACCCAUUGCCAAAGGCGACUACUACGUAUAUACCGACCCUCAUGGACCAAAGCGUGGGGAGCGAACAGGAUUAGAUACCCUGGUAGUCCCGCCGUAAACGAGGUCACUAAUUGUUGGGUUAUAUUCCCUUUAUGUGGCGCAGUGAACGAUGAUAAGUUGACCCCCCGGGGAGUACGACGGCAGGGUUAAAAAUCAAAUGAAUUGUUGGGGGCCGGCCCAACUAGUGGAGCAUGUGGUGUAAUUGUAAGCAACGGGAAGAACCUUACUUACUCUUGACAUCCAGAGAACUUUCCAGUGAUGGAUUGGUGCCUUCGGGAACUCUGAGACAGGUGCUGCAUGGCUGUCGUCAGCUCGUGUUGUGAAAUGUUGGGUUAAGUCCUGUAACGAGCGCAACCCCUAUCGUUAUUUGCCAGCACUUAAUGUGGGAAAUAUAAGGAGACCGCCGGUGACAAACCGGAGGAAGGUGGGGAUGAAGUCAAGUUAUCAUGGGCCUUUAGAGCUGGGCUACAUAAAGGCUAAAAUGGCCGUUAUCGAGGAUCACCCACUAUCGAGGGUAAGCUAAUCUCAGAAAUCCACUCACAUCCGUAUUGCGUUGCACUGGG
rnacentral:rRNA from 1 species